UAUGGGAUGAUCUGAGGUUAGAUCACGUGGCCAUUGAUCUCAACUCUGUAAAGGCUUCAUUCCACCCUGUCGAAUGGCUGUGGAGUGAUAUUGAAAAUGGGGGUAAAGUUGAUGCUUUCAUCACUUACAACUCUAGUACAAAAAACCUGAGUGUCUUUUUACUUGGUGCUGAGGACUUUAAUCGUCUAAAUUCAUCUGCUCUUUCUGCAAUAUUGGAUCUUAGUCAAUAUUUACCAGAAUGGGUCACUUUUGGCUUCUCCGGAGCCACUGGAUCUAGCAUUGAGCUACACACUAUUUAUUCCUGGAGUUUCAGCUCCAACUUACAAGUUUCCAUGAAUAAAACCAUCAAUCCUCCAAAUGUGGCGCCAGGCCCUCCAAUUAACCCCAAAAGGAAGAGCAAGACAUGGCUAUGGGUAGUUCUAGCCAUUGCUGGUGGCAUUUCUGCAUUGCUCCCAGUUCUGAGUCUGGUUUGGCUUUUCUGUAGGAGGAGAAAGUACAGAAGGAUGAGGGAAGAUGGGACCAUGCCUGUCAACGUAGACGUGGAAAUGAUGACAGCACCUAGGAAGUUUUCCUACAGGGAACUCAGGCUUGCAACCAAUAAUUUUGCCGAUGAAGGUCUCCUUGGAGAGGGAGGUUUUGGAAAAGUUUAUUUAGGCUUCUUGAGGGACAUCAAUUCCAAUAUUGCUGUCAAAAGGAUAACUCCAAAUUCUCAACAAGGGGUGAAAGAGUACGAAUCCGAAAUUACCACUAUUAUCAAAUUGAGGCACAGGAAUUUGGUCCAACUCAUCGGUUGGUGCCAUGACAAUAAGGAGUUCCUCAUUGUGUAUGAGUUCCUUCCAAAUAGGAGUCUCGAUUACCAUCUACAUAGAGAGCCAUGCUUGUUGACAUGGGAUACAAGGUAUAAAAUCGCCAUGGGAGUGGCCUCAGGGUUGUUUUAUCUGCAAGAAGAAUGUGAUCGAUGCGUGCUGCAUCGAGACAUCAAGUCAAGUAAUGUUCUGCUAGAUUUUAGUUUCAAUGCCAAGCUUGGUGACUUUGGGCUGGCUAGGCUUGUUGACCACGGACAAGGGUCUCAAACAACAAAAUUGAUCCUUGGAACUGAUGGUUAUAUAGCACCCGAGUGUCUUGAGACAUACAAAGCCAUUAAGGAAUCCGACAUAUACAGCUUUGGUAUUGUUGCCUUAGAAAUAGCCUCCGGAAAGAAGGCCGUAGAUGUAAUUGAAAGGAAUGGCAAGAGAUUCAAGACAAAACUGGUGGAAUGGGUUUGGGAAUUGUAUAGGGAAGGGCGUCUUUUGGAUGCUGCUGACCCAAGAUUGUCUGGAAACUACGACACGGAACGAAUGGAACGGUUGCUUUUAGUUGGGAUGGCUUGUGCUCACCCAAACUAUUUUGACCGUCCAUCCAUAACGAAUACUAUUGAAAUCCUUGGUUCCAAGGCCCCACUGCCCAGUUUACCACGCGAGAUGCCGGUUCCAAUAUACAUUGCAGCUCUGCAAGACAACAUCUUUACAUCUUCAGCAUCCACUUCAUCUUAUACCAGUGCCUCCAACAGAAGCCAAACUCAAAGUUCAGGCACUGGGUCAAGUAUCCAUUCCUUUAAGGAUAAAACAAUGGCUCCAGGUUAUGACACGGAAGCCAAGCAUUGAAUUCUUGGCAGUUGGUAGUUCGAACCUUCUUUUGUUGUAUAUUUGGCUUCUUGUUUUCGAGUUUUGAUGCUUUGGUGAAAAUUUUGUUCUCACCUUAAUAUUAGUAGGUCAUAUCAUGUCUAUCUAUCUAUCUAUAUAUAUAUAUAUAUAUAUAUAUAUGAUAUUUAUGCUCAUGAUUGAGUUGAUACAUCAAUUUAAUUAGAUAAAAGACAAAUUAAAUAUAUUCAUAAAAAAAUUAUAUAUUAAUAAGGUUAUAAAAAUAAAUUAAUUUAAAAGGAAAAAAAACCACCAACAAAUAUUCUAUAUGAAUAUUUAUUUUUAUUUUAUAGGGUGCGAUAUAAAAGAAUUAUCACUAAGGUAGUGAGUGUGUGAAGAAAUCUAGUAUUAAACUAUAUGGAUUGAUACAUGAAUAUAAUAAUUAAAAUUUUAACCCCUGCAAAAUUUCAAACAUAACCAACCCAAUGCCAGUAUUUCAACCAAAGCAUUUAUAUACUUAAAUCUUGCUUGACAUACUGACAUAACAACUUAAUUAAUAAAAAUCCUAUUAUCAUUUCUAAUUAACACAUAAAACUAAUCAAGCCAUUUCAAUUUGAUACCAAUGCCAUAAAGGACUUCUACCAUUUUACUAACAUAAUCAUCAAAACACAUAAUAUCUUACUUUACAACAAAACUAUAUAGCAUACCAAAAUAACUAUUAUAAUUCUUAUGUACAUGCCACUUUCUCUUAAAAGAAGAAAACAUACCAAAAUAUUUAUGUCGGAGUUGGGAUUGUCCUGGAUACUGAACCGAGACUCUGACCCUUUUCAACCUGCGCACGGAAACAACCGUACGCUGAGUAUUUUAUACUCAGUGGUAUUACCAUAAUUCAAAUUAUAAUAGCAAUAAAGAAUUAUAAUUACCAAGCAUGUAACUAUACAAUUUCUUAAAUAUCAAUUAAUUUAUAAACUUUCAUUAACUAACAAUAACAAUACAAUUUUUAGCUAUUCUUCAAUUUCAAUCAUAUAUCACAUGUAAUAAUUUCAAUCGCUACAUAAACAUUAAAUUCAUGUCUUUCAUUUUCAAUCUCAAAUUUCAAUCCACAAUUUUAAAUUUUCUUAUUUCAAUUAUUCACAAUCGAUCAAAUUCAUUUAAAUUUCUCAUUUUAAUUAUUCACCCUAUUAACAAUCUGGACUUUGACGGAUACACGGAUUCCAACCCAAACACACCAGUACGACACAUUGUGCCUAAAACGGUACAUAGUACCUGAUCAGUAUACGACACAUAAGUGCCUGAAACGACCACGAGGUGCCUGAUACGACACACGAGGUGCCUGAUAUACGACACAUAAAGUGCCUGAGAUACGACACAUAAAGUGCCUGAUCGGCAAGGCCGAUAAAUCCCGUACUCAUCCAAAUCCUAUGGCAUGCCAACUAUAUCCGACCUAGCCUGACUAGUUAAUAGGGUAUAUAAAUUUCACAAUCUAAUUUUCACUUUUAUUUCAAGAAUUCAUUUUCAAUAUCAAUUAUACUUUUUUUUUCCAUUCACUAAUUAAAACACAGUUCAAUACCAACACAUACUUCUCUCAUUCAAUUUAACUUUUUUUUUUCAAAUUCAAUUCAAUAAAGUCACUUACCUUAUUAUAUGCUUACCAUACACAUAAUUUAAAUUUAACAUCAAAUAAUAAAUAAUUUGAAUUAUAGUAAUACAAACCCGAAUUUUGCUCGAUUAUUCCUCAAUAACCUUCUCCUUUCCUUUGUGUGCCGAUGCCUCGAGUUCUUUGUUAGCUACGAAAAUAAUAAUAAUUUAUACCAUCGAUUACAACAUUAAUUUAUAAUAAUAAUAAUAAUAAUAGAAUUUCUAUCUAAUUUAUACUUUAAUUCCAAUUUAAUCCUAACUAAAUUUAUUUACUUUUCUAAUUUAAUUUACACUCUAUUUCUAUUCAAAUUUCUUCAAAACUCAAAUUUAACUACCAAAUUUUCAGCAUAUUUCAUUAAUUUCAAAUUUUCCUCAAUUUAAUUCCUACAAACAUAAAACUUAUGACUUACUUCACAAUUUAAUCCUUUUAUCAACUCUAACUAGAAAUUCUAUCAAAUAAAACCUCAAUUUCAUCAUUUAUUCAACAUAAACCCUACUCAAAAAUCUAUUAACUUUCAAAUUUUCAACUUAAAUCCAAGAGUAUUUCACUCUAGGGUUCUAAAAAACAUCAAAUUUAUGAGAAAAGGACUUGAUUUAGCUUACCUAUUAAACUUCAAGCUUCAAAAUCUCAAUUUUCCCCCUUUCUUUUCUUUCCCUUUUUCUUCCCCUGUUUUCGUCUCUUUCUCUGUUUCUUUUCUGUUCUUCCUUUGUUUCUUUUUUCUUUUUGUCUUACUUACCGACUCUAUUUCUUUUAUGCAUUAGUUAAUAAUAAUAAUAAUAAUAAUAAUAAUAAUAUAUUAUAAUAAUCAUAUAAUAAUAUUUUAUUCACAAAUAUCUUUUACUUAAACUAUAAGAAAAUAUUUUAUUUUAUUACAAGUUAUUUUUAUAUAUAUUACACAUGUAUUAUUUAUCAUCACACAUUUGUCUUUAUCUUUUUUGUUUCCUAUAAUAUAUUAUUUUAAUUUUAAUUAAUAUAAUUUAUAAUAUUUUAAUUUAAUAAUAUUUUUAUAAUAUAAAUCAAGAAAAAAUCUAAGAUUUUUCCAUGUAUUGCCGCCUAAUCUUAAGCCAUUGGCUUAUUUACCUAUUUAGUCCUUCUUAUUUUAUUUUGAUCUAUAAUUAAACUUUCACUUCUAUUAUAAUUUAAUUCUUUUUACUAAUUACUCUUAAUUAAGCUAAAUUCACCUAUCUAAAACCUAAUUAAACACACAACUAGUUUAAUAAAUAUUUCUAAUAAUUAUUUUCGAACUCAAUUUACUAAGACGGAGGCCCGAUAUUAUACUUUUCCGAUGCCUGUAAAUUUUUGGGUCAUUACAGGUAAUUAACGAAAUCACUUCAAUGAAUGCACCAAUCCCCUUUCUUCUUUUUCUGAGAGUGUGUUCAAUGUUAAACUUGAUAAUACCAAUGAAGACAUUGGUUGGAUUCCUUACCUAACACGUCCAUUCACUUGUAAAAGUAAAAGUCUUGGUUAGUAUUUUGUUCUUUUCAUUGGAUAUGAAGAUUACUAUUUUGUUCUUGUUCUUAUGGUUUUCCAAGUGUAAAGUAAGGAUUGUUUUGGUUCUUAAUAAAAGUUGAAUUUUCUUAACAAAAUGAACAAAUAUAUAAAAUAUUAUCAAAAAAAGUCAUUUCGAGAAGUUCUUAAGAGAACCAUUGACUUGUAAUUAAUCCAAAGAUUCCAAGUCUUGCAUUGAUGGCUGGAUUAAAAUAAAUUCCACCCAAAAAAAUAAGCAACAAGGCCAAAUUAGUUUAUAACUUGUAAUUGGGGGUAGGUUGGCACCUUCUUUUAUUGAAUAAAUAUCAAAAUUGUAUUUGAAAUUUAAUUUAAUGAAUAAUAUCAUAUAUAUAAAUUUUAAUUUUAUGUUAUUAUAUAUGAAUCUUUUAUUUGAUUCAAUUUUCACAAAUUAUUAACAAUAUUAUCGAAUUAGUAUAAUUUACGUUGUUAUAUUAUAUACAUAGUAUGAGAAUAAAUGCAUGUAAUUUAAACAUGUACAACUGAAUCAAAAUUAAAAUUUUAUAUAUAAUUACAUCAGUUUAAAUUUUAUCAUCAAAUUUCAUAUAUAAAUUGAUAAAUAUUUUUUAAAAUAAUAUAAAUUUUUUUAAAUUUCAUAUAUAAGUUUUUUUUUUUUUGUCCAAGUUCCCACCACAAGUAGGAGAUUCAAUACGAUGCUUUGAAGGUCCAAUGUAGGGCAAGAAUGGCAAACUUUAUUUUAGUGAGGAAUGAAUUAUUUUAUUCCAGGAAAUGAAUUACAUUGUGUUGCAGCAACUUUCCUCAAAAUCCUUACUCCGAAAAUGAAGAAAGCUCAAAAAGCUGAGAAUAUGUAUCUCAAAUCACGUAAACCUGAAUUUCUCUUCAUACUAUUAUUCUUAUACACCCUUCCUAUGGGGUUACUUGUUCCUUUUACCAUGGCUGCAGCAAUUGAUGAUGGUAACAUCCAUUUCAAUUUGACUGAUUUCACCCCAGAUAUGCCUCACAUAGAGUUUGAAAAUGAUACAACCGCAUCAGGUGGCCAAAUCCAACUCACCACCAACCAGAUAAACAAGAAUUUAAACGAUAGUGUUGGUCGAGCCACUUAUUACCAACCAAUGCACCUUUGGGACAAUUCAUCAGGGAAUCCCAGACUUGCAGAUUUCACCACUCAUUUUUCUUUCUCCAUCAAUUCCUUGAAGAAGCCCUCCGGAGAUAGGGGUGAUGGGUUUGCGUUUUUCCUUGCUCCCGAUGGCUCAAAAAUCCCUCCUUACUCCGGAGGUGGUUGCUUGGGACUUCAAAGUUGCGAUAUAGACGCCAACUCUAAAUUUGUUGCAGUGGAAUUUGAUACGUUUCCCAAUGUAUGGGAUGAUCUGAGGUCAGAUCACGUGGCCAUUGAUCUCAACUCUGUAAAAGCUUCAUUCCACCCUGUCGAAUGGCUGUGGAGUGAUAUUGAAAAUGGGAGUAAAGUUGAUGCUUUCAUCACUUACAACUCUAGUACAAAAAACCUGAGUGUCUUUUUACUCGGUGCUGAGGACUUUAAUCGUCUAAAUUCAUCUGCUCUUUCUGCAAUAUUGGAUCUUAGUCAAUAUUUACCAGAAUGGGUCACUUUUGGCUUCUCCGGAGCCACUGGAUCUAGCAUUGAGCUACACA
rnacentral:lncRNA from 1 species